AAAGUCUCAAACAAAACCCUAUAUUUUUACAUUUUUCUCCCCAUUCUACCCUGCUCUCCCUAAAUCCCCCUAUCAGAUAUGAAACCGUCCUUUGAAAUUGAAUGUUAUCAUCAAUUUCUUCAACUCAAUCGUUCUCUUCAAUGCGAUAAUAAUUAGAUUCUUCAAUAUAAUCGUUCCUCCGCUCAUCCCAAAUCAUGCCUUGUUUCACUAAUUAAUUCAUUCCCGCUCGCUCCCAUUUCUACCCCUGCUCUCUUUUCAUCGCUCAACACACACCUGCGACAUCAUCCAUUAUCAGUUGCAAGACCUCAAUUCCAUUCAUGAGUUUAAUUUUCAAUCCAGUGAAUGCCCAAAUUAAAUCCGUUGAAACCGAUGUCUCUUUGUUUCCCUUUGAAUUGAAAGAGUGGGAGGUUAGAAGUAGAGACAGAGAAAAGUAGGGAAGCAGCUGUUGGUUUCUAAAGCAACCGAUGGUUUUAUCUAAUUCUUACUUUUUAUAUAUGUUUUUGUGUGUACUGAUGAUGCAGGGUUUUUUGAAUAUAUUCUUUUGUAGUGAUAUUUGCAAUGAUACUAGGGCUUGGUUCAAAUGUUUUCUCGGACAAGGUAGAUUCAUUGCGAAAAAAAGGAAUAGUUAAGUGAUUGAAAGCAACCACAUACUCUUUCCUGGAUGGAGUGACAAAUUGGUUAGUUUUUAGUUGUUUUGUGCGUUUCCUUUAUUCUGGAGUUUCAUUUACAUUUUAGCUUGUUUGGGUUAUAGUGUUCACUUUUAAAGCAGCUUGAAACAGCAAAUAAGAGCAUUGGUAGCGUUGUUGUUGUUCUGGCUGAGAGGUAUGGAUAUAGUAAAACUUGAAUAUAGAUUCACGGGCACUUUAGUUAUAUGCAGAAGUAGUUUUGGUUUCGAAGGCACAAGCUAUAAUUGUACUCGCAGCAGAUGAAAAUGUAGAUCAGGCUUAUUUACCAAGUUAUAUGGAGAAAAUGAUCAAAGGGUUGGAAUGGACAUGUGCUCUCUACCUUACGCAAAGUGCGCAAAAGGUAAGAUUUUUUUUACGUUUUUUUGUAUAUGCAUAAAAACUGUCUUUUGGUACAUGUCAAAACGUGUUUGACUGAAUUAAACCAUAAUACUUCUAUGAUAUACAAUAAUAAACUGAAUAUAAGAACAUAAUGAUUUAAGGGGUUUUUAGUAUUAAAUAUAGACUGUAGCCAACUUUCAAGUCCCAGCCCUUUAAAUUGUUCCGGUUGGGAUAUACACAACUCAAAUUGACCCAUUCAUAAGUAAAUGGGUCAAAAUUGUUUUGACCUAGAAUACGGGUAAAAUUGACCCACUCUCAUUCAGGUCGAAACGAAACGGGUUUUGAUUAAAUUAGAUACGGGUAAAAUGAGUCAUUUUUAAAGUAGUCUAUUUGUUUCCGAUUAAAGUAGUCUAUUUGUUUCCGAUGUUGACUUUCAAUUAACUGGCGAUGCAAGGAAGGCCACAAGUGCAUUUUUCAACUUAGGAAAACAUUGAAAACAUAUUCAAACUCUACUCGCUUUGCUCUUGCAUGCAACACAUCUUCUAAAAUAACCGAGCUCAUCCAGAGUAAGUGUGCGCUUGUACGGUUUCCCAAGGUCGUGGUUGAUGCUAAAAAGGUGCCUUAUGUCCCAAAUGGUCUUGAAAUGAUUAAGUGCACCUGGAGUUGUUGAAUCAUUUGCUCAAGUUUGUUCAGAAGUGGUGCAAUGGAUCCCUUAAUGGAUUCAUAUAUUGAGAGAAUGCAAGCAACAUGGGUAAACUUGCAAAAAUGAAUUUUGAGUCCAUACAGGUCGGUUUAAAAAAAAACUAUCAAGCUGGUGGUGGCGGUAACGGUGACGGUCCGACGAGACAUUUAUACAAAAUCACAUUUCCUUAAAAAAACUAAAACUACUGAAAAAAAUUAUAGUUUGCAGGUAAUAUUUAUGUUGAUAUGAUCGUGAUAUUUUUCUACACGCCCUUCGCUUCCGGUCCCCAGCCCCUCUAUUGGUAAACUAUGAACUCUUCAUUUUUGUUAUGUAACUAGAGAAUUGAGUAGCCAUAUUGUAGCGAGUCGUUCCCUUUUGCUGAAUAUUUACUCUAUACUUCUAAUUUGAUUUUGUUCCAACUUAUUUUGCUCCCAAAUGUGUGGAUUUUGAAAUUUAACCCGACCUUUUGUUGUUGCUGGUUUAAAAUUAACUUAUAAGUUUAAACUAUUCAAAUUUACAUGUCUGGUUGCUGGUUUAAAAUCAACUGAUAAAUUUUUACUGUUGAAAUUUACAUGUCUGGUUAUGUUGAUUAUUAGUUUAUCAUUAAUUCUUUGAUUUGGUAUCACGGCUCUUGAGGCUAGGGAAGAUCAAGGAUAGGCGAGAUGGCGUACCAAGGAGGAGGUAACCUGAAGUCGACCUUCAUUGAUAGAGUGAAGAUGUAUACGGUGGUGGGACCGCUUGCUAGCCACAUGGCUACCACCGAAUAAGCUUAGACCUCUUCGCAAAGGCAAAAGUACUGAUUUUGUUGAUUGUUUUAAUUUUCUUUAGUAAAAAAUGAAAGGUUUACUAGAUAAAUAUGCGUACAUGUAAAACAGUUGAGAAAGAUGCAGUUCCCGAUAGUUAAAUAAAGCUUAUUAUUUUGUAGUA